rnacentral:lncRNA from 1 species
CACAGAAAUAGGUUUUGAAAUACUAAGAUGCAAAAUCCACAGAAAACCUUUUGAAAACUGUUUCCUACACGAAAACCUUUAUUCUUUAAAAACGCUACCACGAGGGGUAGAAAACCUUUUAUUUUACAAAAUCCAGAAAUCCAUUUAUUACAUUCACGAAAAUCCAUAUUUUCAAAUGUAAUAAAAAUACUGAACCAUAUAACUAUCUAAGCUAUAACAACUGAAAUAAUAAGGGUAAUAACUAUACCGAAAUAACCUGGGUCGGAAGCUCUAUCGACCGCUACACACGUACCUCACGUCUCGUCCCACUACUCAUCGCCCGCGAUACCUGAAAAAUGGUGGGGGAGGUGAGAACAUGUAAACAUGUCUCCCCUCCCAGUGGGUACCGCAAGCCGAUGAAGGCGAGGAGUACUCACCGGAUCAGGAAGAGCUAAAUAACAACAAGGGUCAGUGGAAAUAUAGUAGCAACAAUAGUAAGGUAAAGAGCAGAUAUACCGAAUACAGUAGCAAUAAACUGAAAGAAAGUAAGAACUAGACUGAAUAACGGCUACCGCUACUGUAACUGGAACCGAAAGCAUACAUGAAUAUCUACUAUAGCAGCAAGACAACUAUAAAGUAAGAACUGUAAGUAUGCAUGCAACGACUGCUACUAUAGACAUAUGCGUCAACCGGUCAAGAAGUCCAAAAGUACCCAAUCUGAAACCAAUGCUCUCUUGGUCAGCACCGCAGACCUCAAGCCAGUGCCACUACUACUCUCCAGUGCAUAUAACCCCUCUAGGGCUCACGGGUUGUCACCAUUCAACCACUUUUCCGGAAAAGAACACUCCUUGCGGUGGAUCAGACCGCCAGUGUUCGUGAAAUGCGACGAGUAUCGGGCGAUCAAUGCAAUAUGCUCAAUGAUCAACCGUCGGCAACCAGCCGACAAUCCUGCCCCCCAGGGCCCAUCGACCGCAUAGGUCGUCAACUGUAAAGAAGCACAAGAACCGACCACUCAGGUCAACUAGGAUGGGACAACAUCGACAUCCUCUCAAACAUAUGCAAAUACUGCUCAAUGAACCACAAGGACUGACCACUCAGAUCAACUAGGAUAUGAAACUCGACCAAUCACGUCACAAGUAUAGGAUAUGAAACUCGACCAAUCACGUCACAAGUAUAGGAUAUGAAACUCGACCAAUCACGUCACAAGUAUAGGAUAUGAAACUCGACCAAUCAUGUCACAAGUAUAGGAUAUGAAACUCGACCAAUCAUGUCACAAGUAUAGGAUAUGA